rnacentral:rRNA from 1 species
ACUUCGCUCAGUAACACGUGGACAACCUUACCCUCAGCACGGGGAUAAACCCGGGAAACUCGGGUAUAAUACCCGAUAGUUCUGGUUAGCUCGGAAUGCUAUCAGGACGAAAGCUCCGGCGGCCGAGGAUGGGUCUGCGGCCUAUCAGGUAGUAGUGGGUGUAACGUACCUACUAGCCUACGACGGGUACGGGUUGUGAGAGCAAGAGCCCGGAGAUGGAUUCUGAGACACGAAUCCAGGCCCUACGGGGUGCAGCAGGCGCGAAAACUUUACAAUGCUGGCAACAGCGAUAAGGGGACCUCGAGUGCCAGGAUACAAUCUUGGCUGUCGUGAUGCCUAAAAAGCAUUGCAUAGCAAGGGCCGGGCAAGACCGGUGCCAGCCGCCGCGGUAACACCGGCGGCUCGAGUGGUAACCGCUAUUAUUGGGUCUAAAGGGUCUGUAGCCGGCCGGAUAAGUCUUUUGGGAAAUCCAGCUGCUCAACAGUUGGGCUUUCAGAAGAUACUGUUCGGCUCGAGGCCGGGAGAGGUGAGAGGUACUUCAGGGGUAGGGGUGAAAUCUUGUAAUCCUUGAAGGACCACCAGUGGCGAAGGCGUCUCACCAGAACGGACCUGACGGCAAGGGACGAAAGCUAGGGGCACGAACCGGAUUAGAUACCCGGGUAGUCCUAGCCGUAAACGAUACUCGCUAGGUGUCAGCCACGGUGCGACCGUGGUUGGUGCCGUAGGGAAGCCGUGAAGCGAGCCACCUGGGAAGUACGGCCGCAAGGCUGAAACUUAAAGGAAUUGGCGGGGGAGCA